GAUGAACGCUGGCGGCGUGCUUAACACACGCAAGUCGAACGGUGAAGCAGGAGCUUGCUCUUGUGGAUCAGUGGCGAACGGGUGAGUAACACGUGAGCAACCUGCCCCUGACUCUGGGAUAAGCGCUGGAAACGGCGUCUAAUACUGGAUAUGUGAUGUGACCGCAUGGUCUGCAUCUGGAAAGAAUUUCGGUUGGGGAUGGGCUCGCGGCCUAUCAGCUUGUUGGUGAGGUAAUGGCUCACCAAGGCGUCGACGGGUAGCCGGCCUGAGAGGGUGACCGGCCACACUGGGACUGAGACACGACCCAGACUCCUACGGGAGGCAGCAGUGGGGAAUAUUGCACAAUGGGCGGAAGCCUGAUGCAGCAACGCCGCGUGAGGGAUGACGGCCUUCGGGUUGUAAACCUCUUUUAGCAGGGAAGAAGCGAAAGUGACGGUACCUGCAGAAAAAGCACCGGCUAACUACGUGCCAGCCGCCGCGGUAA
rnacentral:rRNA from 1 species